UGGAGAUUCACUCUUUGUUGGGGCAAUAAUUAUCAGAGUUUAAAUUCACUCUUCUCCUGCUCUGCUUGGGCUCCCUCCAUGACCGCUUCUCGACGAAGCUCAACUCUCUGUCCACUCCACGCCCAGAUAGUAAGCCGACAGCAGCCCUGCCUGAGCUCCAAAGCCUUCUUCCCUGACUUCAGAGGACCGCCACACCGGCAGGUACUCAGCUUCCGACACAAUAACAGACAAAAGCAGUAAUUUGAUUAUGCUUGUGUAGCUUUUGCUUUCCUCCGGCCAUGUUCACUUCUUGCAAGAUGACCCUCCCUGUAUGGUCCAAAUCACUGCAAAAUGAGCAAAAGGGUUUGUUUCAUUUCAUUUGAGCCUGUUACCAUGGAGGAGGAUAUGGAUUGGCUUAGUGGGCAUGUGAAUAAUGUCAUUGUUCGACCAGAUGUGGACAAUGGUAAUGGUUCUGAUAUGGAUGAAGAGGUUGGGGAAGAAGGCGAAGUAUGUUAAAAGUUAAUUUUUAAUUUUCAUUAAAGUAAAUUCUGGAGAGUUUGAGGAGCCUUCUAUCCUCGGAGUCGGGACAGUCUUAAUGAGUCUUUGGAAUUGUGUUAGUGUCUUUAAUUAAGGGUCUAGAAAUGUCUUAAAAGAGCUGUAUAAAUAGAUGAGUCUGGUGUGUUUGGAAUGUAAGAAGCAGCCCCCCCUUCAAUGAAUCGUUCUUCUUGAGCCCAAAACUCCUUAUUCCUCUCUGUAUUUCUCUGUUUAUCCCCAAUAAAGUAAUGGAGGAUUCCGCCAUGGACUAUAAUAUGAAAUCAGAUGAUCCGAGAGGCACUGAAUACUUGGACAAAGAGUCAGAUGUCACUAAGAAUGUCUGGACGAAUGGUAAUACAAGUGCUGGUAGUGCCCCCAUGAGAGGAUUGGAACAAAGCAUUGCUUUUACUGCUGCCGAGGCUGCUACCAACAUGUCUCAAGUAAGCAGUUUAAAUGAAAUCAAUCAGAAUAAAAGGAUUAAUGUGGAAAAAGGGGAAACUAUCUUCAUCAAGAUAAAUACGAGUGCAACUGUGGAUAGUGGAUCGGCAUUAAGGAGGUUAAAUGGUCAGGCAAUGUCAAAUUCUGAAAUGAAUUCGUUGUUGGUACAUGGUUCUGUUUCAUCAGAUCCCACGUAGAGGCGAAAGAAGUGGUCUUCAGCUCGUGAUCAAGAACUGCUAUCUGCAAAACUGGAGAUUGAGAAAGCUCCUCCUAUAGGCAAAGAUGCCCGAGGACUUCAGAAUUUUGUCUAUCGAAAUAUUUCCCUAUUUGUGAGGAGCUACGAGUUAAUGGAGCGAAUCCUUGAAAUCUAUGUCUACAGAGAAGGAGAAACACCCAUAUUUCACCAACCAAAGAUAAGGGGAAUAUAUGCCUCCGAAGGAUGGUUCAUGAAGUCAAUGGAAGGAAACAAG